rnacentral:siRNA from 1 species
AGGCGUUCAGUCAUAAUCCAGCGC